rnacentral:rRNA from 1 species
UACGUAGGGUGCAAGCGUUAAUCGGAAUUACUGGGCGUAAAGCGUGCGCAGGCGGUUGUGCAAGACAGACGUGAAAUCCCCGGGCUUAACCUGGGAACUGCAUUUGUGACUGCACAGCUGGAGUGCGGCAGAGGGGGAUGGAAUUCCGCGUGUAGCAGUGAAAUGCGUAGAUAUGCGGAGGAACACCGAUGGCGAAGGCAAUCCCCUGGGCCUGCACUGACGCUCAUGCACGAAAGCGUGGGGAGCAAACAGG